rnacentral:rRNA from 1 species
ACUUUCAGCAAUGGAUCUCUUGGUUCUCGCAUCGAUGAAGAACGCAGUGAAAUGCGAUAACUGGUGUGAAUUGCAUCCAUGUAACUCUAAUUUACGAAUAACACCAAGUGAAUCAUCGAGUCUUUGAACGCAAUUGCGCCCUCUCGGUCGCUUCCAA